rnacentral:rRNA from 1 species
UACAGAGGGGGCAAGCGUUGUUCGGAAUUACUGGGCGUAAAGGGCGCGUAGGCGGCCUGUUAAGUCGAACGUGAAAUCCCUAGGCUCAACCUAGGAACUGCGUCCGAUACUGGCGGGCUUGAAUCCGGGAGAGGGAUGCGGAAUUCCAGGUGUAGCGGUGAAAUGCGUAGAUAUCUGGAGGAACACCGGUGGCGAAGGCGGCAUCCUGGACCGGCAUUGACGCUGAGGCGCGAAAGCUAGGGGAGCAAACGGG